CUGGCACACAUGUCACUGGGAGUGGCGUGAGAGGAGCAUAUGGUAUUGCUGCAACUGAGGAGGGAUUCCUUGGAAGUAUGAGUGCUGGAGAUUUUACGUCACCUGGAAGCUUUUUGUUCCUGACAAUUUUUAUUUUUGCUUUACUGAAAUGGACAUGUCUGUCCAUAAGCAGGCACCUUGCCACUGUGACAGAUGGGCAGUAAUCUUCAGGUGGACCAUCACAUUUGGCAGAUGCAUUAACACUAUGCCAUGAAGAAAUUUUUCCAAAUGGGUAGAUCUCACACUAUUCAGAUCAGAGUUUAUGCUGUUAAAUAUCACCUAGAAUCCAACAGACUAUUUAUUAAGGUCAAAGAGUGUCAGUAACCACACAUUCUCAGGAGGCAAUGAGUGAAAAUCAAACCCAUUGUCAACUUUUCAAGUCUGGAAGGGGAAAUCUCAUUACGAUCACACUGCAGUACGAUAAGCUUUCCCUUCCUGGAAAUCACCAGCUUCACGGCAAACAUCUGGAUGAUGACCAGCAAAGCCACUUUAGCCACUGCUGUUUCCAGCCCAUCACAGCAGCAGUAUAAAAUUCAGCCUACAUUCAACUCCUAUUCCUCUUGUGAGCUGCAGUGAUCACCCGUUGAAGCAGCUGCACUUGUCUUAAAAUCCCUACCUGCACCAGAUGGAGGAUGGCUGAGCAGAUAAAGGAGGAUGAAGCAGGGUUCCUGUGGAACAACAGUUCACAACAACACCGAGUUUAGCUGUCAGAAAGUCACACAAAUUCUAUGAAAUAUCUGGAAAGAUGAAAUGGAAGGCUGCCAAGACAUAACCUGUCUAGGGCCUGGAGAAUUAAAAUGAUUUGUUUUUACGAACCUGCACAGCCACUACACAGGUUUUUGUGAAUUUCACCAAAACUGGAAAUAAAUUAUUUUUUCAUUACCCUUACCCAUGUGAAACCUUCUGUAUCAUGGGAAAUGCUCUUUGAGAAUGUGGCACUGAUGAAACCUGUAUUAAAAAUGUGCUUUAUGUCAAAUGGAAGGGAGAGCAAAAAAGAAUGAAAUACCGAUUGUAAAGAAAGCAGAUGUCAUUUGAUGUGAUCUUGUUCAAAGUUGUAGUUGCUUCACCCCUGUACAAAGUUUUAGCAGAGGCCUUCAGGAUUAAUACAAUCCCAAAUCCUGGGAUAUUUUUAUUGUCUUAAUAAUCUUCUUUCUGAGUGAUUGUUGAGACCCUCAGAAUACAUAAACCAGAAUAUUUGUACUCCGUUUAUGCCUGCUGUAUAGCUAUCUAAUUACUAUUUUUUAUUUUAAUUUAUUUUAUAUUUGACUGUAAGUAAAAAUUGACUAAUACCAAUGCUGCUGUGUUGAUACUGUGUUUGAUUUUGCUGUCUUUGUUUUGAUUUGGUUUUGGGGUUUUUCAAAAAUGCUUGCUGUUUCAAGCAUCAUGUUUCAGUCUGCAUCCCAGUAAUAAGCCCACAGCAAAUCCACACUGUAGUUUUGUGUUCAGUGUACUAGAAACAAAAGUCAGGAGCAUAGAUGUGUCCUUUAUUAUGUGUACAUUUCUUUGAGACAAUUUAAGGGGAUAUUUAGAUAUUUGCCUGCAAACCAGCCCCUGCAGUAUUCUAAGAUAGGUCCAUGUUUUGGAUUGCAAUACAAGAUGUGGCCAGAAAUGUAUAUUCUAUCACCCUCUGUUGAAGCUGGGUGGGGCAGGGACCCUUAUUUCUGUGGAACAUAUUAUCUGCCAAUGGGCCAUCUUUAAAACCAGGUGGGACAAUCAUCUUUAUCUUUUCCACAACCCAUCCUCCCUCC